UAGGUAGAACUCCACUGUAUUGGGUAUUUAGUUGUUAACUAAAGGUUUACGGGAUCGAGGCCCGUCUACCUAGU
rnacentral:tRNA from 1 species